GCCGAGAUGGUGGAACUGGUAGACACGCGGGUCUCAAAAACCCGUCUCCUUUACCGGAGGUGCGAGUUCGAUUCUCGCUCUCGGCA
rnacentral:tRNA from 1 species